UCUGGUCACCCUCUCAUCCUUAAUGCAAGACACAUCUUCGCUUCUUUAUUUGUCUUUUCAGGGUCACACCCGCGGCAUAUGGAGGUUCCCAGGCUAGGGGUCUGAUGGGAGCUGUUGCUGCUGGCCUACACCACAGCUCACAGCAAGGCCAGAUCCUUAACCCACUGAGUGAGACCAGGGAUCGAACCCGCAACCUCAUAGUUCCUAGUUGGAUUCAUUUCCACUGCACCGUGAUGGGAACUCCAAGACACCCCUUCUUUUAGGACUUAGUCCACAUUUGAAUCUCCCACUUGACAUGCAUCUUGCUUCCUACACUUUCAAUCCUGGGGAGAAGUUGUGUGGCAGGAGAAGGUGAGCUACAAAGAGCUGGUACUGGGGAUCUGAUGGGCAACAAAAACCUUCAGAGAACUUAGUUCAGUUUCUAGAGACUGACAUUAUGCCAGAAUUUCCUGUAAAUUAGGAUCGACCCUAAAAUGAAAAUAGUAAAUGAAAUCUUCUAAUAUGUUCAGCUCAGUGGGCUUCAAAAAUCUUUUACAUCAAAGUUAUUCAUGAAGUUUUCGAAUUUUGAACAUUUUUGUUCAAAGCCCCAGUGCUGUGAAAUUCAUGUGCAGAUCCAAGAAAAAAGAAUCUCUUUGAGGGAAUUUUGAGGUGAGCUCUGAAGUUUUAUAAAGAUAUUCUCAUGGUGCUAUAUAAAUUAUUGAAUGUACAUAUAUCUAUUUCACAAUAAAGAUAUACCACUUUCUGAGUAUUUUAUUAGAAUAGAUAGAGGCAUACAGCAGAUUUAGGGUUAUACACAUUGUGAGCUCUCAAUAAAUGCUGUUUACUGAUCAGUGAAAGACAGGCUGUAAUCCCAUGUUGUGACUGUAGCAGAUUGAGCCUGGCCAAGGCUGAGCCAUAACACUAGUUGCAUUGCAUGAUGGCUUUUAUCAGGAAAUAAGGCUGAUUAUUUCACAGUUUGGUGUCCUAUUUCAUCAGGGCCUUUGAGUUUUGCAGAAAUCAUCCUUUUUUUCAUGUUACAGGUAAGAGAAAAGGGCAGUUUUAAAUCUGUUCGAAAUCUUACUGAAUGUCAAAUGUUGAGUCUUAUUUCUAAUCAUUUGCUAAUUCUGCUGAUUUUACUUAGGCUGUAUUCUUAUACUUGUCCAUUUAGCCUGUCCCACUACGUUUGCUGUAUGUAAGGCCUUAUAUCUUUAUUUGUUAAUUGUAUUUUUAAAAAUUUAUUUUAUUAGUUUAGUUGACUUAUAAUGAGUUCAUUUCUAGUAUGCAGCUAAGUGAUUCAGUUUUAUAUAUAUAUGAAUCAGUUAUAUGUAUAUAUAUCUGAAUCAAUUAUAUCACUAUCACUAACUUAGUUAUAUCACUUAUAACUGAUUCAGUUAUAUAUAUAAUUGAAUUAAUUUGCUUAUUAUAUACAAUAUAAUACAUAUGUAUUUUAUGUAUUAAUAUAUAAUAUGAUUUAUAUAAUACAUAUAUACUUGCUUUGUACAUACUUACAUAUGUACUUGCUUAUAGUAUAUUAUAUAAUUAACUGAAUUGCUUUACUGCAUAGUGGAAAUAACACAUUAUGAUUCAUUUCAUUCUUUUUGAUAUUGUUUUCCAUUAUGGCUUAUUACAGGGCAAUGAAUAUAGUCUCUUACUCUAUGUAGUAGGACCUUGUUGGUGUAUAAUAGUUUGCAUCUACUAAUCUCAAACUGAAUAGAUCCCGCCCCAUCCUGGCAACUCCAAGUCUGUUCUCUAUGUCUGUGAGUCUGUCUCUGUUUUGUAGAUAAGUUCAUUCGUGCCGCAUUUUAGAUUCCACAUAUGUGAUAGCAUAUGGUAUUUGUUUUUCUCUUUCUGAUUUACUUCACUUAUAUGAUAAUCUCUAAGUCCAUACAUGUUGCUGCAAAUGGAAUUAUUUCAUUCUUUUUAUGCUAAAUAAUACUCCAUUGUAUAUAUGAACUGCAUCUCCUUUAUCCAUUCACCUGUCAGUAGACAUUUUGGUGGGUGCCAUAUCUUGGCUAUUGUAAGUAAUGCUGCAGUGAACAAGAGGGUACAUAUAUCUUUUUGAAUUAUAGCUUUGUCCUGCUACAUGCCCCAAAGUGAGACUGCAGAUCAUAUUGUAGUUUUAUGUUUAGUUUUGUUAGGAAUAGCCAUUCUGUUUUCUAUAGUGGCUGUACCAGCUUGUAUUCCCUCCAACAGUGUAAGAGGGUUCCCUUUUCUCUAUACCCUCUCCAGCAUUUAUUAUUGGUAGACUUUUAAAUGAUGGUCAUUCUGAUUGGUGUAGGGUGGUACCUCAUUUUAAUUUUGAUUUGCAUUUAUCUAAUAAUUCAUGAUGUUGAAUAUCUUUUCAUGUAUAUCAGGCCUCAUAUAUUUCAUUAGAAUAGGUGGCAUUUAAAAGUGCUCAAUAAAUGGUAGAUUUAAUCAUUUUUUGACCGUCUCUUUCUCCCUUCAGUCUGUCCUGUACACUGCACUCACAUUAAUCCCUCUCUAUCAUCAUUAAUCCCUCUAGUUUGAUGUCACAUCUUUGUUCAGAAGCUUCAGUGAUUCCCAAGUGUUCAGAGACUAAAAUGCAGAAUCCUUCCUUAUUUUGGUAUUCAAAGCCAUUUUGAGCUGGCCCUGAAUGAUGACUUUAUAAACUUUUCUUGAUCAUGAGUUCUGUUUAAGAAUUUCGAUGAUGGAACCCAAUUCAGAUGCCAGCUCCACAUCUUAUAACCUGUAUGGCCUAGUGUACUUUCAUGUAAAAUGGGAGAGAUAGUAUUAACUGCUUCACUGGGUUGUAUAAUAAUGGUCAAGGUCAUGAAUGUGAAGUUCUUACAAUUUCUGAUGUGGGUCUUUAGCUCUUGACAUGUAUCUCAUAUAUAAUAAGUGUUAAUUUUUUCGUAUUAGUUGUUAGCAACCCCUUUUUACAGAGUGCUGCAUUAUGUUUUUAUGAUGGAACAACCUGAGGGCUAUACCUGAAAGGCAUAUUCUCCCUUCAGCGAGUAAUGUACUUUCCAUCUCUCAGCAGAUUAUUUAGUCCCCAAAAGGCAGGUAUCUAUCUAAUGGCCAAGGAGAAUUGAGCAGCUUCAGCUUUGCUCCUAGUAUUCCUUCUAUAACUUUUCUCUUAGUCACGCUCAAUGAAUGGACAAAAAUAGUUCCCUCAAGGAGAGUAAUUUUCCUCCGUGAUAAUAAUGUCUGUUGAGUCUCUGAGAGUAAUGGCCCUAUGGGAAGUAUCCUGUGGAUUUCCUCCAUGUCCUAGGUGAAGCCAGCAGGUGCCAGGGAGAUGGAAGGAUACCCUAGAGGACAGCCUCGAUCUCCAACAAAGCCUCCUUCCCAGUCUCUUCUCACACAUUAGUAAUGCAGUGCCUCCCUGUUGCCAUGAGCACUGGAACUGAAGGCCACUAAUAAUAUCUCAGUUAUUCUUCCCACAUCGAUAACCACCUAUCUGGGAAAUGGUACAAGAGUAUACACAGAGAGUGAAAAAUGUUGAAACUAAGAGGUGACCACUGCCCUUAACAAGCACUAUAGACAGUACUUAUUUUGUAAUUUCUGCCUUCAUUCUUUGCCCUCCUUCUCACCGUUUUCCCAUAAAGAGCUUGUGUGCAUCCUUGAUCCUGCCUCCUUGGACAUCUGUCCUUUAGGUAGUGUGAGGCCUGUCACACGGGGUAGCAAUCUGUUAAUUAAAACUACAGGGAGAGUCAUCUAAGAGUCAAGCAGUGUCGUCCAGGGCUUCUCAGUCAGAAAGCAUAUUAUAAGUGACCUGUGAAACUUCGUUCAGCUUCAGGACAGUGGCUACCAGAAAACUCUGAUUUUUAAUUUACGAUAAUUGACGGUUAAACAUGUGAAACAGACAUGGUGCUCUGGGAGAUUUUACAGCAUGUGGUCCCUGGCCAACAAAGCUCUAGGGAUCCCUUACACAUAAAUCUACACACUUUGAACCAUGAGACCCCCUCUCUUCUGGCCAGAGACCGUUGACAUCUGAUCUAAAGGCAGCCAGUGGACCUACUAACCUAACACAGGCCCCCUAAUUAGAUGGUUACUAAUAGAUGUCCUCAGAUUUUAUUAACGUCUUUUUUUUUUUUUUUUUUUUUGUCUUUUUAGGGACAUACCCGCAGCAUGUGGAGGUCCCCAGGCUAGGGGGAGAAUCAGAGCUGUAGCCACUGGCCUACGCCACAGCCACAGCAACACAGAAUCUGAGCUGUGUCUGUGACCUACACCACAGAUCAUAGCAACACUGGAUCCCUAACCCACAGAGUGAGGCCAGAGGUUGAACUUGCAUCCUCAUGGAUAGUAGUCAGAUUUGUUUCCCUUGAACCAUGAUGGGAAUUCCUACUAAAGUCUUUUGAACAUGAGUAGAUGCUUACUCAUCAAAUGAUAUCUUAUUAAGUAUCCACUGUGAGUUUGCUCACCUUUUUAUUUCUGUAUGUAAUUUGCCAAGUUUGGGAAUUUUCAGCCAUUAUUUCUUUGAGUAUUUUUCAGCUCCACUCUCUUUCUCCCUCUCUCUGGGGCCUCCAGUGACACAAAUGUUAGAUCUUUUGUUAAAGUUCUACAGGUCUCUGAGGCACUUUUCACCAGUUUUCAGCCUGUUAUCUCUCAGUUGUUUUCACUGGAUAGUUUCUAUUGUUUCGUCUUAAAUUCAUUGAUAAUUCCCUCAUUCUCUCUGUCUUCUGAUGUUGAGCUCAGCUUAAGUUUUUUAUUUUGGUUAUUUUAUUUUUAAGUCCUGAAAUUGUAAUUUCAUUCUUUAUAUUGUUUUCUGUAUCUUUCUUGAUAUUUUCUAUUUUUCCAUCACUUUGAAGCAUGUUCAUAAUUGCUCUUGGGGGCAUUUUUUUGGUCAGUUGCUUAGAUUCCAUGUCACUUAAUUUUAAGAACUUUGUCAUCUUAGUGUUGGCAUGUUUUAUUGCCCUUGGGAUUUUUCUAGUUCUUUGUAAUGUAUAUGAUAUUUUUAUUGAACCUUGGACACUUUGAGUAUUAUGCUAUGAGAUUAUAGAUCUAAUUUAAAUCUUCUGCUUUAGCAGCUUUUUCUGACACUCCACAUGGGCAAAGUAGAGCCUCAGCUGGUUGAUAACAGGUAGGGUUGGAAGUCCAAGUUCCUCAUUCAGCCUUUUUGACAGUGCAAGUGGGGCCAUGUUUCAGAAUUGCUGGUUCAGGGAUAGGAGUUCAGACUCCUCAUCAGGCUUCUGUUUUGAUACCCGCAAUGAUGGAAGGGUGGAAGAUGACUCUUCCCAUACAGCUUUUACGACACCACAGAGGUGUUCUUAUUAUGUAUGUUGUAUACUACUCUGUACUAAAAAGAGCCGGUUUUCUUGCAAAAAUGGCAGAUUCCAAGAGUAGGGUAAGAAGAGCCAGGGAUGGAGUCCCCGUCUUGGUGCAGUGGAAAUGAAUCUGACUGGGAACCAUGAGGUUGCAGGUUGGAUCCUAUGGCUGUGGUGUAGGCUGGUGGCUACAGCUCUGAUUAGACCCCUAGCCUGGUAACCUCCAUAUGCUGCAGAUGUGGCCCUAAAAAUGACAAAAGACAAAAAAAAAAAAAA
rnacentral:lncRNA from 1 species